CAUUGUUGGUCUCCCCACAUCCAUAUAGAAGUUCAUUAAUUGAAAUGACUUAUUUUCUUUUAUUGAACUGCUUUUAUUGAAAACCCAUUUAUUGACCGUAUAGCUGUGGAUCAAUUUCAGGUCUUCUAACUCAGGCUGUUUAUCCGUUUGUCACUCCUGAUGCCUUGUGUCUAAUAGCUUAUAGUAAACCUUAAAGUCAGAUAGUACAAGUCCUUGUUCUUUUCCACACAUUGCAAUAAAUUUUGAAAUAGAUAAUAACUCAUGAAACCAUCACACACAUCAGGAUAUGCUGUCACUUCAUCCCUUUCUGAUAUAGUUUGGCCGUGCCCUCACCCAAAUCUCAACUUCAAUUGUAUCUCCCAGAAUUCCCAUGUGUUGUGGGAGGGACUUAGCAGGAGGUAAUUGAAUCAUGGGGGCGGGUCUUUCCUGUGCUAUUCUCCUGAUAGCGAGUAAGUCUCACUAACUGAUGGGUUUCUCAGGGGUUUCUGCUUUGGCUUCUUCCUCAUUUUCUCUUGCUGCUGCCUUGUAAGAAGUGCCUUUUGCCUCCCGCCAUGAUUCUGAGGCCUCCCCAGUCACAUGGAAAUGGAAGUCCAAUUAAACCUCUUUUUGGUCCUGGACUCUGUUAUGUAUUUGUCAGCAGCAUGAAAACGGACUAAUACACUCUCAUUUCUGAGUGGGACACAUGCUGUCACUCACAUAUGCUGGUUGCUGACUUGUGACGGAAGAUUCUCUAUUGUACCCUCUGGGGACAAUACAUCUCCAGUUGCCUGCGGGGAGGAUGAACAUGCAAAAAAUCCACAACACUCAGCACAGAGUCUGGAUUUAGUCCCAUUAGUCUGAAUGGGACUAAUGCCCUUAUAAAAGGGACCCUGGGGAGCUCUCUCGCCCUCUUUCUGCCCCCUGAGGAUACAAUGAGAAGGUGGCAGUCUACAACCAGACCAAAGGUCCUCACCAUAACCCUACCACGUCGGCACCUUGAUCUCGGACUUCCAACCUCCAGAACUGUGAGAAAUCAAUUUCUGUUGUGAAUCAGCCACCCAGUUUAUGGUACAUUGUUAUAGAAGCCCGAACUAAGACAGAGAUGAAGUCCCGUGCAGGGUCUCUAAUUUGCUAAGCUGGUCAUCAGGCGGGAUAUUGCCAGUCAGAAACAGGAAGAGCUGACAUUUUGUGUAUAUGAAAGAAGAUAGUGGACAGGCCCAUUGUGUCAGCUUUGUCCGCCUUGGCAAACUGGAGACGGAAACUCGAUUCACCAUCGCCAGCCACGGGAGGACUGGGAGGACCUCCAGAGGAGGUUAGGUCGACUUCAUGGUAACUUUAGAUCCGGAAACCUCCCAGGAUAUUUCUUGUCUUCCCUUUGAUCUCUCUUCCACCUACCCAACAGGACAGGACUCGCCGCCUUUCUUUCCCGGCAGAAAGGGGUCCGUUGCGGACAAGACCAAAGUGAGCAGCUGGUUUCCCCUACGUGUCCUUCCGGGCCUGGGCGUCUCGGGAACUCAGGCUGACCCGACACCUAACUCCCGGCGAGUGGGACCAGCAGGAGCCUGGAAGAGCGCGCGCACCGAGGUGGAAGUUGGGCACCGGGGGUCGAGAACCGCGGUCAAACCCUCUUCUUCCAGGGGCACCGCGCACCUGCCCCCGGGGAUGCCGAAGGAAGUGACCCAUAAAGCUUCUCUGCAACCGAAAGAGGCCUGAAGCUCCAGGAGGGCCGAGAGGAGCCUCGUUGAGCGAACCCAGCCCUCUGCCUGGCUGGCCCUGGUCAACAGGCUCGGAAGAGGCCGAUUUGGAGGACAGAACGGAAGAAAAGACCUAAAGGUUUCGAAUCUCAUGACGCAGAGAUGCUAAAAAUCUCCAAUCCUAAGGUCCGACUGUGCGGGGGAGCGAGGGGGUCUCAAGCUGGAUUGACCCCGAGCCUUCAUCUGGAGAGUCCUCUGCACAAGCUCAGACAGCAGGACAACGCGCAUCAGUGGUUCUCAAGAGGGGGCAACUUCGCCCUUACACGCCUCUCCCAUCCCCGCUGGGACACUAGGUCACGAAUGGGGGAAGCGGGGAGGGAGAAUGCUAACCCCCUGGCAUGUAUCUAGUCAGCGGAGGCGACGGCUGCUGCUAAACACCUUACAAUCCACGGGAGGGCCCCUCCCCUACCCCGAAGUAGCCAUUCCGCAGAGGUGGAGAGACUCGCGUGUAGCUCAAUGCCCACGCACUUAGCCGAUGGGAAAUCACGAAUUGAUGACCAGUUGGCUCUUGGAUCUGAGGAAAAAUCUCCAGCGUCAGAGGGAACUCUCGAAGUUUUGCCCGGAGCAAACGGAAGGGUGGCGUUGCCAUCGCCUAAGAUGGGAAAAUGGCAGGUGUCACAGGUUGCAGGGGAAGGUCGGAGACCAGCUGAGGGCCCCGGAGCCUUCCUGGAAAGAGUUUCCCAUCCAGCCCGUCUCGGUUUCCGCAUCCGUCUGAUUCCUUAUGACGUUGAGGGUGCUGGCGUCUGGGUCCUUUAUGAUGCAGAGGGUGCCCCCGUCUCACCCCGGGCGCCUCCGCGCUCUCGCCUCCUCCUGGCAACCUGGUGCGCGACUCCGGACCUGGCGACCCACGACCGGCUGGUCACUUGCUGCCACCUCGCAAAGGCGCAUCUCUAGUCCAGUGGUGAGCUGCGGCCGGGUCGCUGCAACUCGCUCCAGGCCUCCGGACUCGUGGCCUCGGUGUCUCUCGCGGAGCCCUCGGUGUGUCGCUUGCAGGCUCUUUUUUUGAAGAAAGCAGGGAGGGAAUGGCCUUGUGAGAGACUCCAGGAGCAAAGAGCGACCCUCACAAGGCCCAAGUCCUCCCAGAGCUCAGGGAAGCUGUCGCUUCUGACAGAAGAAGGGAGACAAAGCUCCCUCCUGCGAGUCCCUGGUGGUCUAGUGGCUAGGAUUCGGCGCUUUCACCGCCGCGGCCCGGGUUCGAUUCCCGGUCAGGGAAUUGUUUUACACUGGCCGCCCUCCCGCAGGAAUCUUCCUUCACUACGCUGUCAGCCGGCCUGCUCCAAGGGCCAGAAGCAGAACAGUCUCCGCAGCGGGGUUAAAGCCGGACGAAGGAGGGCAAGUGCUGGUGGACCACCUCUCACGACACACCGUUCCUGUUUAU